GAUAUAUACUACAGCUAGCUGCUAAUUCUCAUUUAGCUCCCGGGGGCGAAGUUGGUAGCAAAGGCCCAUGCAUUGUUGUUGACUGGGUCGGCGACGUGGUCGAAGAGGUUCUCGACGGGUCCCUUGCCCGUGACGAUGGCCUGCACGAAGAAUCCAAACAUGGAGAACAUGGCGAGGCGGCCGUUCUUGAGCUCCUUGACCUUGAGCUCAGCGGCGGUGUCUGGGUCGUCGGCGAGACCGAGGGGGUCAAAGGCGCCACCGGGGUAGAUCUUGUCGAGCCCCUCACCGAGAGGGCCUCCACCAACACGGUAACCCUCGAUGAAGCCCAUGAGCACAACUUGGCAUGCCCAAAUGGCGAGGAUGCUCUGCGCGUGCACGAGGUUAGGGUUGCCCAGGUAGUCCAGGCCGCCCUCGGAGAAGAUCUGCGAGCCGGCCUUGAACCACACCGCCUCGCCGAACUUGACACCAUUCUUGGAGAGGAUCUCCGGGAACACGCACCCGAGCGCGCCAAGCAUCGCCCAACGAGAGUGGAUCACCUCGAGCUCCCUGUUCUUGGCGAACGUCUCUGGGUCAGCUGACAACCCCGCGGUGUCCCAGCCGUAGUCACCGGGGAACUCGCCGGUCAGGUACGACGGCGUCUGCUCGGAGAACGGGCCCAGGUACUUGGGACGGUCAGGGCCGUACCUAUAUAUACACGCACGGUCAUUUCAUCACCAUUAAUUUCAUUCAGGCGAAGCCAAUUGCGCGGUACUUGAUGCAUGUAGUACAUAGAAAUGUAGCUUUGGACGAAGAAAAAGAUAUACUUACCAGAUGCUCUGGGGUGCGCUCUUGACAGUCCGGCGCAUGGUGAUGCGGCCGCCGAAGUCGCCGACGCUGCGGACGAGGUCAUCGCGGCGUGGGGCGGUGCCGAGGAAGCUGGUGGUCUGGUGCAGCGCCGACGCGGCCAUUUCGAUCCCAAUUCAAGUGGUAAGGUCAGUGAGAGAUGAGCUGGUGGCUGGUGUUGUUUGAGUG
rnacentral:lncRNA from 1 species